CCCAGCCUUCUUUUCUUCCACAGAACUGUGUGGGGAGCUGGGGCCCACCUCCUUCACCUCCAUCCUCUGCUGCUUUUUUUAUGCACGGAUCUAAGACUAAGCACAGUGCUUUUUCUGGUGAUAGUACAUGCCAGGAAGGCAUAUCGGAACAGUUUCCUUAGAGCUACAUUGAGACACAUCUGUUCAAGUGAAUCAGUUACUGACUCAUGUAGCAGGGAUAAGAAAUUCAAAACCAUCAUAUGGAUUGAACCGCAUGAUCCCCUUGCCACUAAAAAUAUUAAUUAAGCUUUUCUUUUUAUCCUUCACCAUAACAUCUGUUAACUCACUUUUGGCAUCUUGUGAAACUUCUUGUGCAUGGAGAAUCAUAACAGUUUCUGUGGGUCAGGAAUCCAGGAGCAGCUGAGCGGGGGCCUCCAGUUCAGGGCCUCCACCAAGCUGUGCGUACAGCCAUUUCCAGGCUUGACUGGAGAGGAGCCACCUUCAAGUUCCCUCAUGUGGCUGUUGACAGGCCUCAGAAGAUUCAUUUCCACGUUGAGUCACUCAGGCCUCUCCUCAGGGCUGCCUGGAGACACAGAAGCCGGCUUCUUGAAGAGCGGGGAUUCCAAUGAGAGAGAAAGAGCAACCCCAGACAGAACCACAGACGUGACAUCCAUGGUGUUUUUCAUACCGUGCUCAUGAGAAGAGUCGGCCUCAACUUACAAGAGCCUGUGUGUGAGAGCCUUGUCUAUUAAAGAAGAACUUACAAACGUACUGCUUUCGUGCAAGCAACAUCGUAAAGGAGAAUCCAGUUGCUGCCAGCCCGUAAACACCCAUCGCACAGCGUAGCAGCAGUGCUCAUUCCAGGGCAGAGCUACUGUUUAUAGUUCUGCUCUCUGGAAAUGUGAUCAGAGUUCUGGUCGGGUUCAUGAGCGACACGGUUUCUCCCGGCCUGGCCCUGGUUGCGUGCCUACACCCCAUUAGCAGCUGUUACUCCUUUUACUUCUCACCACCGGCUCCUGCUAUGGAAGUUGGUCUAGUCUCCUUCCAAAGUCCUACUCUCUGGGCGAGAGGCGAGAAACUAUGCGUAGUCCAAUCGGCAGGUCUCAAGCCACCGCCGUCCCAACGUUCCUGAAGAGAUGCACAGCAGCGCCUUGUUAUGUGUUGUUUCCUUCAUCUGUCAGCCGCGACAUAACAGGGCCAAACCCUGACCAAAUGCAUGUGCUUCGUGCUCCACCUGGGGCCGCAAACCCAGGUUCUCUGGAUUGGAAGAAGAAACGCGCCUCAGAGCAGAAGCAGGUUGCAGCUGGUGGCCGUGCUGAUGACCCCAGUGCCUUCCCCCAGUCCAUCCAUGCAGGGAACGCCCGGAAGGGACACUGAGGCAAUCAGGGACCAGCCAGCCAGUCGAGAAGAGAAGUCACCUGCAAGUACCAGCAACUGCUGCUGGUAUGUCAGUUGUAGCAAGAAAGUUAAGAGGAGGAGGACCUCAGUAAGAAAAUCUUUAAGAGGAAGUAGAAACUUCUGAAUGGUUCAUCAUCUGAAGUCAUUCCUGUGAGUUAAGGAUUGCUGACCCUAGAAGAAUGUAAAUGCUUCCCAGGAAGUGGAACAUCGUGUUGCGAACAUUUUGUAUCCCACCAGAUAGACAGCCACGACGUGCUAGAGGUUGGGGGAUUUGAGCCAUGUGCUGUCAGCUGAACUCCUGAAAGGCUAGAACCUGAGUCUGCCUGCUGGAUGGGGCCCUGAUACACGCUCUGGACACCGAGGCUGGGGUGAGCUUCCUUGGUUGGCAAUACUCACUGCAAAUCGUUCACAUCAAUACCAAGAGAGUGACAAUGUCAUGCGUUCAUGGGGAGAGGACAAGAGCUCAGCAUUUCAUACUUGAUCUUGAGUUAAGUAUUGAACUGCCCCAGGUACUUCUUCCUUUACCUGAUUCCAGGCUGUAUCCUUCAGCUGUGUUACAGUCUAACCGAAGCAUAACAGCUUUCAAUGAGUUCUGUGAAUUCUUCUAGCAGCUUAUGUCGGAAGUGAGCGUAGUCGCUUCUGCAGACUGCUUGCUCCAACUUCUCAGUUGGCUAAACUCUUGCAGAUAUAAAGGCUGUCCUGCAAGACAGCACAGCUACUAGCUCAGCUUUACUGCCUGAGGGCUGUCCAUCCUGGCUUAUCCUACUAAAGUACAGGUUAGGAUAUUUCUCCCAACAUUUUGGUCAGGAAAAAUCACAUUAAAAUGAAGAUUAAGGGCAGUUGGGAGAAAACAGACACACACGCACAAGGAUGUCCAUUGAGCUUUUGGCUUUUGGCUCAGAGGAGGAGGUGAAGAUGCAACUAUGUCUGGCCAUCCAGUUUCUGGGUUCUUCUGACACCAGCCACCUCCACCAUGACACCUCAGUUCAACCCCAACAAGAUCAAAGUCAUAUAUCUGAGCUGCCCCCGUGGGAAAGCUGGUGCCGUGUCUGUCUUGGCUCCCAAGAUGGGUCCCCUGAGUCUGUCUCCCAAGAAGGUUGGUGACGACAUCACCAAGGCAACUGGUGAUUGGAAGGGUCUGAGGAUGACAGCGAAACUGACCGUUCAGAACAGACAGGCCCAGAUGGAAAUGGUACCUUCUCCCUCUGCCCUGAUGAGGAGAGCUCUCCAGGAACUGCCAAGAGACAGAAAGAAAAACAUUAAGCACAGUGGAAAUAUCACUUUGGAUGAGAUUGUCAACAUUGCCCCACAGAUGCAGUACUGAUCUUUAGCCAGAAGACUCUGGAACCAUUAAAAAGAUCCUGGGGACUGCUCGAUCUGUGGGCUGCCAGGUUGUUGGCGAAUAACAUCAACACUGGUGCAACAGAAUCCCCACUAGUUAAGAAUGCCCCCCCCCCAAAAAAGAUAUCCAUUGGAGUAUUUGUCAUAAGAAUGAAUAGAGAACCAAUUCUAUAAAUUAUGAUAUUCCACAGAGAGGAUACUAUUUUUAAAAUUAGACACAUAUGUACUCAUGUGAAAAGAUCUCCAAAAUAUUUUGUUAAAUUAUAAGACCAAGGUGCAAAGAAUUUGCUCUUUUUUUUAAACCUUAGUUAAUGAUUAACCCUGAGGCAAAAGGGUAAAUGCUUUAAUAAAGAAGUAAGUAAAGAAGUU